CGUAUCACUUAAAGCGAUUCAGCGGGUUACGAUUGACGGAGCGAAGCGACGUCAAAGCGUAUACAAAGUCGAGUCGGUUUAAGGAUACGUUCGUUGGGUAGGGGAGCGUUCUGUAAGCCCGUGAAGGUGGCCUGUGAGGGUUGCUGGAGGUAUCAGAAGUGCGAAUGCUGACAUAAGUAACGAUAAAGCGGGUGAAAAGCCCGCUCGCCGGAAGACCAAGGGUUCCUGUCCAACGUUAAUCGGGGCAGGGUGAGUCGACCCCUAAGGCGAGGCCGAAAGGCGUAGUCGAUGGGAAACGGGUUAAUAUUCCCGUACUUGGUGUUACUGCGAAGGGGGGACGGAGAAGGCUAUGUUGGCCGGGCGACGGUUGUCCCGGUUUAAGCGUGUAGGUGUGUGUUCCAGGUAAAUCCGGUUCACUUUAACACUGAGGCGUGAUGACGAGGCACUACGGUGCUGAAGCAACAAAUGCCCUGCUUCCAGGAAAAGCCUCUAAGCAUCAGGUAACAUC
rnacentral:rRNA from 1 species